rnacentral:rRNA from 1 species
UACGGAGGGAGCUAGCGUUGUUCGGAAUUACUGGGCGUAAAGCGCACGUAGGCGGCUUUUUAAGUCAGGGGUGAAAUCCCGGGGCUCAACCCCGGAACUGCCCUUGAAACUGGGAAGCUAGAAUCCUGGAGAGGCGAGUGGAAUUCCGAGUGUAGAGGUGAAAUUCGGAGAUAUUCGGAAGAACACCAGUGGCGAAGGCGACUCGCUGGACAGGUAUUGACGCUGAGGUGCGAAAUCGUGGGGAGCAAACAGG